rnacentral:miRNA from 9 species
CCAGUAUUAACUGUGCUGCUGAA